CUCUCCUUAGCUCAGUUGGAAGAGCGCAAGACUGUAAUUGGCCUUCUCAGGAUCAUCUUGAGGUCCCUGGUUCGAGCCCGGGAGGGGAGA